rnacentral:rRNA from 1 species
CGGUGGAUGAUGUGGAUUAAUUCGAUGCAACGCGAAAACCUUACCUACCCUUGACAUGUCCGGAAUCCUGCAGAGAUGCGGGAGUGACCGAAAGGGAAUCGGAACACAGGUGCUGCAUGGCUGUCGUCAGCUCGUGUCGUGAGAUGUUGGGUUAAGUCCCGCAACGAGCGCAACCCUUAUCAUUAGUUGCUACGCAAGGGCACUCUAAUGAGACUGCCGGUGACAAACCGGAGGAAGGUGGGGAUGACGUCAAGUCCUCAUGGCCCUUAUGGGUAGGGCUUCACACGUCAUACAAUGGUCGGUACAGAGGGUUGCCAAGCCGCGAGGUGGAGCCAAUCCCAGAAAGCCGAUCGUAGUCCGGAUUGUUCUCUGCAACUCGAGAGCAUGAAGUCGGAAUCGCUAGUAAUCGCGGAUCAGCAUGUCGCGGUGAAUACGUUCCCGGGUCUU